rnacentral:lncRNA from 1 species
UACACUUCACAAAAUUCACAACUCUCUCUCUUCCUCCUCUUGAUUCUCGGCCGACCACCAUAGCCACACCCACACUCACUUUCGAGUUUGAUCAAGGUAUUCUACAUACAUACAAGUGUGAAGGAUCACGCACGAGGAAGCUUGGUGCUUACGGAUUGUCAAGGACCUUACCACAACGCUAUUAACCACCCGUUUUUCGUCUAGUUUCUUCCCUAGCCUCGAGCUAGUAACGCACCACUAUGAGUUCAUGGAACUAAGGAUCUGGCACGGUAUGCUACGUUUUCGCGCUGCGUUAGAGUUAAUGGGAUCAUCCUCGUUUAGGGAUUGCGACUUUUACCUGGACGAGUCGCAAGUCUUAAACGGUGUUUAAUUUAUGUUGUGGUUGUGUCUUAAGAACAAUGUUUUUAUAUUGUAGUAUUGUAAACUCGAUGCAUGUGUCUGCAUUUCAAAACAAUGUUGUGGUAUUUUGUUUUUAAGACUUUGAUUAAUGGAUGAUUCUGC